UAGGGAAUCUUCCGCAAUGGGCGAAAGCUUGACGGAGCAACGCCGCGUGAGUGAUGAAGGUCUUCGGAUCGUAAAACUCUGUUAUUAGGGAAGAACAAAUGUGUAAGUAACUAUGCACGUCUUGACGGUACCUAAUCAGAAAGCCACGGCUAACUACGUGCCCGCAGCCGCGGUAAUACGUAGGUGGCAAGCGUUAUCCGGAAUUAUUGGGCGUAAAGCGCGCGUAGGCGGUUUUUUAAGUCUGAUGUGAAAGCCCACGGCUCAAACGUGGAGGGUCAUUGGAAACUGGAAAACUUGAGUGCAGAAGAGGAAAGUGGAAUUCCAUGUGUAGCGGUGAAAUGCGCAGAGAUAUGGAGGAGCACCAGUGGCGAAGGCGACUUUCUGGUCUGUAACUGACGCUGAUGUGCGAAAGCGUGGGGAUCAAACAGG
rnacentral:rRNA from 1 species